UGGCGAGAGCCGUGGCGCCGUCGAGUACAUCAAUGUGUCGUCGGUCUUUUCAAGUGGACAGUUUUGUGGAAAGAGCCUGCGUGACCCUGGCCACGUGGAUCAGUGGACCUACGCGGUACGGGACGUGUUAUAAAUGGUUUCCGCCACUCAGCCGUAUUUGAAUUUGUGAACACGAUCGAACAAAUGACGCGACAAUUAUUAAUUGCCGUCUCUGCCUUAGUAACGAUUCGCGUUGGAACGAGGUCGAAUCGUUCCGAUUCCACGCGCGAUUAACAAAUAAUUACAGUGGACAUCAAUUACUUGGAUGACCUUCGUCAUUUCAGCUUAAAACGAUUAAUUUGAUCAAACCAAGCAAUUAUUUCAAUUAAUACAAUCUGCACUUUAAAUUCGCACGUCUUGUGUAUACACACCGGGCCAGAGAAAAGUUUUCAUUCGUUCGAGUAGAACCUUCGUAGUCCUUGAGGACGCGUGUCGCUUCUCGUGUACCUAAAGUUUCGCUCAAAUUAACCGUUUUAUUUGAAUUCGAUCGAGUGAAAACCUCUUUGUCACCGUGAGUUUGUUACUUAAUUGAUACUCUUAGAUGCCCUUUGCUUUCAAUCUCUUACAUCCAUUCUUAAUUAGUCAAGUCGUUUGACUUUUGACAAGUAUUUUGAAACCAUUUUACUAACACGAACCUACUUUUUUACUUGAGAUUAUCCGCUAUUUUUAUUCAAAUGUAUAUGUACGUAUAUACACUUUUGAAUUUUAAACGAACCUUCUGUUAUACCUAUAUCCUUUAAGCGCCGUUUUAAGUUUCAAGAGACUUUAACUCGGAUAGCUCGACUUGGAGUUCUAACGUAUACUGUGAAGCACACUUGCGAAGUAAAACAGCAAACACGAUAUAAAAACUUUUUCCCCAUGUAAGAAAUCGAAUAACCUAUUUCAACGGUGCUUUAAUCUCAUCGAUGAAGCAUCGAUGCAACGAAGAAGCAUCGUGAUAGCCGCAAUGCGGAUCCGUUGAACAAAAAUUUCCUGGUACGGUCGUUUUCGUAAUGUUAUUAACCGUUUUAGUGUCGGAUGUUUCAAGACUCCGUAUCGGUUUGUGCUAUGCAGCGCGAUAGCGCUUCGUUUAUUUAUUUGCCAGGAGUACCGAUCGACGCGAUCGCGCUGCCCUUUUUCAUUCUGUUUUUUUCAUCGAAAUAUACCGUUCGACGUGCUCGCGCUUCAUUUAUGCUCUGCGUUUCGUUUGCGUGAUAACAUUCUAUAAUGCAGGAUUUGGUUUUCCGAUUCAAGAGGUAAUUUUUUAUAUUGGUUUUUUUUUUUUUUUAUUUGGUUUAUGAUUAUUUGAAAAACAAGUAAUUACGAGAGGAAACUCUGAUAUGACUCGCGACGAGCACGCUUGAGCGCGUUGCGAAUUAAUGAUCGUGACCAUACAUCGUGGCACAAUUUACCACCGUACGCGAAUAGAGCGAUCACGCUGCGUGGCGUUAAAACGGUUAGCGUAACUGCGCGUACGAUUGUCGAAUGGCAAAGAUAUUGACGCUGGUAAUCGUUUUCAGUGGCUUUAGGAGAAGAUUGUACUGAUUUUGAAGGAAAAGCCGUCUCGCAUGGAAUGACGUAUGUGCCGGGACCAUCGGUUUGCAACCUCUGCGUCUGCUAUCAUAUGGAGCCAAAAUGGUGCCAGGCUAUGUUCUGUUCACCUCCUUUUAGCUGCAAGAAAUUCCGCAUUGGACGCCGAUGUUGCGAGUUCCAGUGCGUGGAUGAGGUUGACACAGGCUAUUGGUUUGGAUCUGAUGUGGUUAUUGUGAAUCGUUCAUCUAAACUUGAAAAACAUAGUGUAUUAUGGAUGCUGAGUUUAGUGAUAGUAAUUGUAGUAUUUUAAUUUCUCAAUAAAGAUUCCGAUGGCGCUGUGGACAAAAUUCGUAGCUUAUAAACAUCAACGAUUAGUUUCAGCCAUCGGGAAAAGAAGUAGUGUAUGUAUGUAGUGUGUUAACGAAGUAGUAAAACGUAGUGUAAAGAAAGUAGUGUAAAAGUAAAGUAGUGUAAAAUUAGUAGUAGUAUGUAAUUCGCACAAAAAAGUAGAUAUUAGUAUUGAUGUUAUUGUAUUCCAUAUUUGACCUUAAAAUAUGAAUAAAAUCUAAUCAGUCUAAGUA